CACGUAGGGGGCGAGCGUUGUCCGGAUUUAUUGGGCGUAAAGAGCUCGUAGGUGGCUUAGUAAGUCGGGUGUGAAACCUCCAGGCUCAACCUGGAGACGCCACCCGAUACUGCUAUAGCUUGAGUCCGGUAGGGGAGCGUGGAAUUCCUGGUGUAGCGGUGAAAUGCGCAGAUAUUAGGAGGAACACCAGCGGCGAAGGCGGCCAACUGGACGAAUACUGACGCUGAGACACGAAAGCGUGGGGAGCAAACAGG
rnacentral:rRNA from 1 species